UACGUAGGGUGCAAGCGUUGUCCGGAAUUAUUGGGCGUAAAGAGCUCGUAGGCGGUUUGUCGCGUCUGCUGUGAAAAUCCAGGGCUUAACCCUGGACCUGCAGUGGGUACGGGCAGACUGGAGUGCGGUAGGGGGAGAUCGGAAUUCCUGGUGUAGCGGUGAAAAUGCGCAGAUAUCAGGAGGAACACCAGUGGCGAAGGCGGCUUUCUGGUCUGUAACUGACGCUGAGGCGCGAAAAGCUAGGGGGAGCGAACGGGG
rnacentral:rRNA from 1 species